rnacentral:rRNA from 1 species
GAUGAACGCUGGCGGCGUGCCUAAUACAUGCAAGUCGAGCGAACAGAUGAGGAGCUUGCUCCUCUGACGUUAGCGGCGGACGGGUGAGUAACACGUGGAUAACCUACCUAUAAGACUGGGAUAACUUCGGGAAACCGGAGCUAAUACCGGAUAAUAUAUUGAACCGCAUGGUUCAAUAGUGAAAGACGGUUUUGCUGUCACUUAUAGAUGGAUCCGCGCCGCAUUAGCUAGUUGGUAAGGUAACGGCUUACCAAGGCGACGAUGCGUAGCCGACCUGAGAGGGUGAUCGCCCACACUGGAACUGAGACCCGGUCCAGACUCCUACGGGAGGCAGCAGUAGGGAAUCUUCCGCAAUGGGCGAAAGCCUGACGGAGCAACGCCGCGUGAGUGAUGAAGGUCUUCGGAUCGUAAAACUCUGUUAUUAGGGAAGAACAAAUGUGUAAGUAACUAUGCACGUCUUGACGGUACCUAAUCAGAAAGCCACGGCUAACUACGUG